GACGAACGCUGGCGGCGUGCUUAACACAUGCAAGUCGAACGGAAAGGCCCUGCUUUUGUGGGGUGCUCGAGUGGCGAACGGGUGAGUAACACGUGAGUAACCUGCCCUUGACUUUGGGAUAACUUCAGGAAACUGGGGCUAAUACCGGAUAGGAGCUCCUGCUGCAUGGUGGGGGUUGGAAAGUUUCGGCGGUUGGGGAUGGACUCGCGGCUUAUCAGCUUGUUGGUGGGGUAGUGGCUUACCAAGGCUUUGAAGGGUAGCCGGCAUGAGAGGGUGGACGGCCACAUUGGGACUGAGAGACGGCCCAGACGCCUACGGGAGGCAGCAGUGGGGAAUAUUGCACAAUGGGCGGAAGCCUGAUGCAGCAACGCCGCGUGCGGGAUGACGGCCUUCGGGUUGUAAACCGCUUUCGCCUGUGACGAAGCGUGAGUGACGGUAAUGGGUAAAGAAGCACCGGCUAACUACGUG
rnacentral:rRNA from 1 species